rnacentral:rRNA from 1 species
UACAGAGGCCCCAAGCGUUACUGAGAAUCACUGGGUUUAAAGGGUGCGUAGGUGGUCCGUUAAGUUCGUUGUGAAAGCCCUGGGCUCAACCCAGGAACUGCUUCGAAUACUGGCGGACUUGGGGCUAGUAGGGGUCACUGGAACUGACGGUGGAGCGGUGAAAUGCGUAGAUAUCGUCAGGAACGCCAAUGGUGAAGACAGGUGACUGGGCUAGGUCUGACACUGAGGCACGAAAGCGUGGGGAGCGAACGGG